CCUACGGGCGGCUGCAGUGGGGAAUAUUGCACAAUGGGGGAAACCCUGAUGCAGCGACGCCGCGUGAGCGAAGAAGUAUUUCGGUAUGUAAAGCUCUAUCAGCAGGGAAGAAAAUGACGGUACCUGACUAAGAAGCCCCAGCUAAAUACGUGCCAGCAGCCGCGGUAAUACGUAUGGGGCAAGCGUUAUCCGGAUUUACUGGGUGUAAAGGGAGUGCAGGCGGCUUGGCAAGUCUGAUGUGAAAGGCUGGGGCGCAAACCCAGGACUGCAUUGGAAACUGUUAGGCUGGAGGGUCGGAGAGGUAAGCGGAAUUCCGAGUGUAGCGGUGAAAUGCGUAGAUAUUAGGAGGAACACCAGGGGCGAAGGCGGCUUACUGGACGACAACUGACGCUGAGGCUCGAAAGCGUGGGGAGCAAACAGGAUUAGAUACCCGAGUAGUC
rnacentral:rRNA from 1 species